UACGUAGGGUGCAAGCGUUGUCCGGAAUUAUUGGGCGUAAAGAGCUUGUAGGCGGUUUGUCGCGUCUGCUGUGAAAUUUCGGGGCUCAACCCCGAACUUGCAGUGGGUACGGGCAGACUAGAGUGUGGUAGGGGAGACUGGAAUUCCUGGUGUAGCGGUGAAAUGCGUUGAUAUCGUUCGGAACACCGAAAGCGAAGGCAGGUUACUGGGUGCCACCUGACACUGCUAGGACGAAAGCGUGGGGAGCGAAUGGG
rnacentral:rRNA from 1 species